rnacentral:rRNA from 1 species
CCUACGGGAGGCAGCAGUGAGGAAUAUUGGUCAAUGGACGCAAGUCUGAACCAGCCAUGCCGCGUGCAGGAUGACGGCUCUAUGAGUUGUAAACUGCUUUUGUCCGAGAGUAAACCCCGAUACGUGUCUCCGCUUGAACUUAUCGUACGAAUAAGGAUCGGCUAACUCCUUGCCACCAGCCGCGGUAAUCCGGAGGAUCCGAGCGUUAUCCGGAUUUAUUGGGUUUCAAGGGUGCGUAGGCGGUUUGAUAAGUUAUAGGUGAAAGGUCGGGGCUCAACCCCGAAACUGCCUCUAAUACUGUUGGACUAGAGAAUAGUUGCGGUAGGCGGAAUGUAUGGUGUAGCGGUGAAAUGCGUAGAGAUCAUACAGAACACCGAUUGCGAAGGCAGCUUACCAAACGAUAUCUGACGGUGAGGCACGAAAGCGUGGGUAGCAAACAGGAUUAGAUACCCGAGUAGUC